rnacentral:pre_miRNA from 13 species
UGUUGUAUCAGGCAUUAUAAAUAAUUCCUAGGCAAUAUUUAGAAUGGCUGCAAGCCAUAGAAUUGGCUAAGAAUUAUUUCAAAUACCCUGCUCCC